rnacentral:rRNA from 1 species
UACGUAGGCAGCAAGCGUUGUUCGGAGUUACUGGGCGUAAAGGGUGUGUAGGCGGUUCUUUAAGUUUGGUGUGAAAUCUCCCGGCUCAACUGGGAGGGUGCGCCGAAUACUGAGGGACUAGAGUACGGGAGAGGAAAGUGGAAUUCCAGGUGUAGCGGUGAAAUGCGUAGAUAUCUGGAGGAACACCGGUGGCGAAGGCGGCAUCCUGGACCAACAUUGACGCUGAGGAGCGAAAGCCAGGGGAGCAAACGGG